rnacentral:lncRNA from 1 species
CCUCCCACGUGCCACCUGCUUUCAGCCGAAGGAAUUAAACUCUUCCUCUAAUAUUUUAGGCAUUUACAGCUAGAACGGGAGAAUGUUUUGGAGGAAAGAAGGCAUUUCAUGCUCCGAUCACCUCCGUUUAUUAAAACCUCCAAUUUGUAUCUGUGCAACUCAACUUGUGAGCCUGGAACCAGGUUUACCCUUCUGAUGACCCUGAAAGGUAGGCAUCUGCAAUUUACAGAUGGAGACACGAAAGCUCAGGGUCUUGCAGCGGGUAACAGAGAUGCAGACAUGGGUUUGUCUAGUCUUCUCUCAGCAGGCGAAGGAAGGGAAGGUUUUCCUUGCUUGGUGUCUGUCUUGCCCACAAGAAUAUAAACACUCUCCGUGAGGGCAGGGACUUUGUUUUGUUCACCUCUGUAUCCCCAGUGCCCAGCACACGGUAGGUAGUCUGAACAUAUAUAUUCAAGGAAGGGAUUGCUAUCCUCUCAUCUAGGCAAUAAAUAUGUAUUAAAUGUCUCUUCUCUGUCCCCAAGAAUGUGGGUCUGAGAAAGUACAGAUGAAAUCACAAACUAGGUGAGGCCAGGUCCAACAAGAAAGCCAAGCUGUUUUGGGGGGCAGAGAAAAAGGAGUUCACUUUGUGAAAGCGUUUGAGUGGUGUCUCUGAAUCCUGACUUCUUUUAUAUUUAAAAGAAAGAAAAGAAUAUUAGGCACAUGCGCCUGGGGAAAAAUCAUUAAAAUAGUACAGAAAGGUAUGAAAUAAAACGUAAGUCUUCCUCUUCCCCUCCAUUGCUAGCCUUGUUCUUCACUUGAUUUUUUUGUGGCAGGGGAGGGAGCGUUGGUGGUGGUUUUGUCCACAACUCAAAUAAUAUG